AACGAACGCUGGCGGCAUGCCUAACACAUGCAAGUCGAACGAAGUCUUCGGACUUAGUGGCGCACGGGUGCGUAACGCGUGGGAAUCUGCCCUUGGGUGCGGAAUAACUUCUCGAAAGGGAUGCUAAUACCGCAUAAUGUCGUAAGACCAAAGAUUUAUCGCCCAAGGAUGAGCCCGCGUAAGAUUAGCUAGUUGGUGGGGUAAAAGCCUACCAAGGCGACGAUCUUUAGCUGGUCUGAGAGGAUGAUCAGCCACACUGGGACUGAGACACGGCCCAGACUCCUACGGGAGGCAGCAGUGGGGAAUAUUGGACAAUGGGCGAAAGCCUGAUCCAGCAAUGCCGCGUGAGUGAUGAAGGCCCUAGGGUUGUAAAGCUCUUUGACCAGGGAUGAUAAUGACAGUACCUGGAGAUAAGCUCCGGCUAACUCCGUGCCAGCAGCCGCGGUAAU
rnacentral:rRNA from 1 species